UACGGGGGGAGCAAGCGUUGUUCGGAUUUACUGGGCGUAAAGGGCGCGUAGGCGGCCAGCACAAGUCAGUUGUGAAAUCUCCGAGCUUAACUCGGAAAGGUCAACUGAUACUGUGCGGCUAGAGUGCGGAAGGGGCAACUGGAAUUCCCGGUGUAGCGGUGAAAUGCGCAGAUAUCGGGAGGAACACCAAUGGCGAAGGCAGCUUGCUGGGACGGUACUGACGCUGAGGCGCGAAAGCGUGGGGAGCAAACAGG
rnacentral:rRNA from 1 species